AAUAUAAGAUGUAAAAGUUGAAAACAGCUGAACGUCGUGACCGCUUUCGGCAGAUCCCUGCAGUGCGUCGUCAUGACGUCGUAACGACCGAUCAACCGCGAGAUGGCCAAGACCAGAAAAACGUCGGGAACGGAGAGAGAGUGGUAUAUUCGGUGCUCUAGCAGCCAGAGCAUAAUGUCGGACAGUAUAAUAGCACACAUUGAUAGAGUAUGGUAUGCUAUAGCGUAGUUGGCAAAUGGCGGUCGCGAAAUGAAUAAUAAUGUGCAGUUGUGGUUUUUGUUAUGUUAAAUAUUGGACGAACGAAGUGUAAGAUGUUAGUGAAGAGUCCUACGUCGGAGAAAAAGCAAAGAAGGAAUAAUGUCAGAAGUGCCAGGAGCGGUGCCGACGAAGCUACCAGAAGCUAUCGUGUCCACCGCGGAAAUACUAGGUCUCCAAAAACAAGUUCGGAACGACUGAAUCUUCAACAUUUUUGGAUAAAAAUUCUACUUUAAACAGAGGCGAAUUUUCAAUCUACCCAAAAUAUUUCAAUUGAUCCGAAUACAUUUUUCGCUAAAGUGUACGCAAUGAUGGUGAAAACGAUUUUUACAGACGUCCAAAGGGUGGCCAACUCAGAAGUCAAACGGAUUAUUUGAAAUUGAAACUGAAAUGAUUCGUGCUACCUAUAAGGUGACCACCCUUUGGACUUGCACUGAAAAACAUGACCCGCGCUCAUACCUCAUGUAAAUAUUUAUACUUCAAAAAGAACGAAUUACAAUUUGUCAUCAGUUAAAAACAAUGUACACAGUUUUUCCAAAAUAAACAAAAAACCGAGUUUUGAAAAA
rnacentral:misc_RNA from 1 species